rnacentral:misc_RNA from 1 species
AACGCACAUUGCGCCCGCCAGUAUUCUGGCGGGCAUGCCUGUUCGAGCGUCAUUUCAACCAUCAAGCCCCGUGCUUGUGUUGGGGACCUGCGGCUGCCGCAGGCCCUGAAAGACAGUGGCGGGCUCGCUAGUCACACCGAGCGUAGUAGCAUCAUCUCGCUCAGGGCGUGCUGCGGGUUCCGGCCGUUAAACACCCCCCACAUCAAGGUUGACCUCGGAUCAGGUAGGAAGACCCGCUGAACUUAA